CCUGGGACUCCGGGCGCCCUCCCAGAGCGCGCUCCGCCCGUGCCCCAGCUAGUCUUGGCUUGGCGCGAACGCAGUGCCGAGGCACAGGUCAAGGUCCAUCUGGCGUCGGACAGCUACCAGCUCCAGGGCUGUCCCCCGGCCCGCACCACGUGUACGGCGCCCACCGCCAAAGAGCCCGCUCGCCGGGCCAUCUCGGGGCCGUUCCCUCUCGCCUCUCCGGAGAGGCCGCGCCCUCAGCGGCCGGGCCCAGCGGCCCUCGUCCGCGGAGCUGGGUGCGCAGCCGGGUGAGGCCCCGCGCACUCAGCGGCCGGCUUGGGGUCUCUGCGCUCAUCCGGCGCGCAGGGGCCCGACGCUGCGGCCCAUCUAGGCCAGGGCGCGGCGGCUUGGGGGUGGCGGUGGAGAUAGCGCGGCGCAGUCCCCUCCGCGACUCCGUGGGCCGUGCCAGGCGCCGGGCCGGCCAGGCGGAGAAGGGGCGGUUCCUUGGGGUAAGGCUCGUCUCUCUCACGCUGCGGUCCGGAGGCGGGGACCUGGAGCGGGAGCAGGGCGCAGGGCCGCGGGGACAAGGAGGGGGCGGGCUCGGGGUUGGGGGGGCGCACGGAGCGGCCGGGGAGGUCCCCGGGCAGGUGCAGCAGCCGUCCCCGGAGCGCAGCGCCCGCGCGGCCGAGCCUCUCGGCGCCCGGGCCGGCAGAUAUCCGAGAGCCGCGGAGCCGCCCCCCGCGUCAGCGCCCGCAGAUUGGCGGAGACGCAGCCCCGCGAGUCACCGCCAGGCCCGAGCCGACUCCGCUCCCUCUCCUUUCUCCUCCCUCGGCCGCGCCCCGCGUUGCCUCUGCAGCUCCGGGCCCGCUAAGGAGAGGGCGCCUUCCUCCUUCGGUUGCCGAAAGAAGACGGAGAGACCCGAGAGACGAAGGCCGGAGGGCUCGGGCGCGGCAAGCCGGCUCCUGCAGGACUGGGAGCGCGCGCGGGCGCUGUCGAGGGCGGCUCUCCGGCCAGGCCGCUGUACGCAGGACCUCCGCCCGCCCGGGGCCGGCCGCCGC
rnacentral:lncRNA from 1 species